UACGUAGGGCGCAAGCGUUAUCCGGAAUUAUUGGGCGUAAAGAGCUCGUAGGCGGUUUGUCGCGUCUGCCGUGAAAGUCCGGGGCUCAACUCCCGGAUCUGCGGUGGGUACGGGCAGACUAGAGUGAUGUAGGGGAGACUGGAAUUCCUGGUGUAGCGGUGAAAUGCGCAGAUAUCAGGAGGAACACCGGUGGCGAAGGCGGGUCUCUGGGCAGUAACUGACGCUGAGGAGCGAAAAGCGUGGGGAGCGAACAGG
rnacentral:rRNA from 1 species